rnacentral:tRNA from 1 species
UUCGGUGUAGCUCAGUUGGUUAGAGCGCUGCACUGGAAUCGCAGGGCCGCAGGUUACAUUCCUGCCAGAAG